GACGAACGCUGGCGGCGUGCUUAACACAUGCAAGUCGAACGGAAAGGCCCUGCUUUUGUUGGGUUCUCGAGUGGCGAACGGGUGAGUAACACGUGAGUAACCUGCCCUUGACUUUGGGAUAACUUCAGGAAACUGGGGCUAAUACCGGAUAGGAGCUCCUGCUGCAUGGUGGGGGUUGGAAAGUUUCGGCGGUUGGGGAUGGACUCGCGGCUUAUCAGCUUGUUGGUGGGGUAGUGGCUUACCAAGGCUUUGACGGGUAGCCGGCCUGAGAGGGUGACCGGCCACAUUGGGCCUGAGAUACGGCCCAGACUCCUACGGGAGGCAGCAGUGGGGAAUAUUGCACAAUGGGCGGAAGCCUGAUGCAGCAACGCCGCGUGCGGGAUGACGGCUUUCGGGUUGUAAACCGCUUUCGCCUGUGACGAAGCGUGAGUGACGGUAAUGGGUAAAGAAGCACCGGCUAACUACGUG
rnacentral:rRNA from 1 species